rnacentral:tRNA from 1 species
GGUCUCGUAGCUCAACUGGUAGCGCGUGCGCUGUGCAAAAGCGUAGGCGGCGUCCAUGCAUGGGUUCGAAUCCCACUGAGGCUA